UACGGAGGAUCCAAGCGUUAUCCGGAAUCAUUGGGUUUAAAGGGUCCGUAGGCGGUCUAGUAAGUCAGUGGUGAAAGCCCAUCGCUCAACGGUGGAACGGCCAUUGAUACUGCUAGACUUGAAUUAUUAGGAAGUAACUAGAAUAUGUAGUGUAGCGGUGAAAUGCUUAGAGAUUACAUGGAAUACCGAUUGCGAAGGCAGGUUACUACCAAUGGAUUGACGCUGAUGGACGAAAGCGUGGGGAGCGAACAGG
rnacentral:rRNA from 1 species